rnacentral:rRNA from 1 species
CAGUCGCGUUCUCUGGGAUUCAGCCUUGCUUCUUGCUUGGUGCAUUUCCUAGUCUACGGGCCAGCAUGAAUCUUGAGCGGUGGAAAAAGGCCAGAUGAAUGUGGCAUCUUCGGAUGUGUUAUAGCUUCUGGUCGUAUACAUCGGUUGGGAUUGAGGGACUCAGCACGCCGCAAGGUCGGGUUACCCCCACGUACAUGCUUAGGAUGUUGGCAUAAUGGCUUUAAGCGACCCGUCUUGAAACACGGACCAAGGAGUCUAACAUAUAUGCGAGUGUUAUUGAAAGGGAACGAUUGAAGUGAACUCUAACAUAUAUGCG